rnacentral:rRNA from 1 species
AAGCACCUCUGGCCGUCGAGUGUCGUGAUCAACGAGCCACACUUCCGGCACGCCAAGCCGUGCAUAGAACGGCAGUUUCUCCAUCGUUUCAUCACCGAGGCCGCGGAUUUCCACAACGGCCGUCGGGGCGCCCUCAAAAUAGACGUCAUGGUCGAUGGCAAAGCGGUCGGGCGUGAGCAGCACGAGAUUGGGAACACGAUAAUCGUUGGGCCAGCCGCCCAAAGACGUGACGUUGAUAUCAUGAUGUACGCGAUUCCCCAGGGGUUGCGCCCAGUGCAGGCGGAGCCACAUCCACAUCUCCGAUAGAAGAUCCUGGUGCGAACGCUUCGGGGCCGGUGUCAUGUGUGGCACUCCCUUCCACAUUUCGUCGAAUUUGUCGUUGCCCGUCUGUUGCCGCCAACCAACGUUUGCGUCA